GAGCGGCACGGGAGCCCCGGGUGACUGCCCCGGUCUUUAGGGCCCGGCUUCGCUCACCCGCUGCAGGACACUCUCGGUACUGCAGGGUCCCGGGCCCCAAAGGCAGGGAGCGAGACCCUGGAGUGAAGACGCCCCCGCCCCCGCCAGGUGUGAUGAGCGGGCCCUGGGGACAGGGUCUCCCCCGGGGAUAGGGUCGCCCAGGCAAAGCUGAGACUCGGAGGUGGGCUGCGGGGCCACACCGUCCGCAGGGGCGGUGGCUACAGGUAGUUGUCUUCGGCAGCGUCACUCCCGCCCCUGGAGCCCCGGGGCUCAUCCUCCUCAUCGUCGUCGUUAUCGUCGUCAUCGGGGGCCAGCGCCUCGAUGUCGUGUGUGAUGUCAGCCAGCAGCCGGUGGAAGGCCUGUGCCUCGGGCCGCUGCGCCGCGCCAUCGUAGCUGCGCACCGCAGAGGCCGACGUGGAGCUCAUGCUGCGCUUGAUGCGGCCGAAGCUGUCAGUGAGGAUGCCGCCCUCGCGGAUGCCCACGCCCUCCAGGAAGCCCUCGAAGUAGCCGAUGUCCUGGUCCGGGAUGAAGGGCCGCAUCCCUGUGAGCCGAGGGAUGUGCCUCCAGGACUUUGCUUGUGCCAUUCCCACCGCCAGCCCCAGCUCACCGUGACCAUGUAAUCCUGUAACUGCUCCAAGCCCAGACCGCUGUGGUCGCUGCCGCUGCAGUGGGAGCCGUGAAAAGAAGGUGUGGACGUGCCGCUGUAACAUGCUUCAAAGGUGUCCUGGGAGCCAUUGCUGCAGGCACAGGAAGAAGGGCCUUCACUCGUCUCCCUCCAGCUCCUCGCCCUCGGGCAGGCUGAAGGAGCUGGCCCUCGAUUCAAGCUGGUGAUUAGUGUCCUCGUGAAUGUUACUGUGGUGAGGCCAACACUGACAACGCUGGAGAACGAACGGACUGGAGGUUAGAUCUAGUUUGUUUUGGCCAUUUUGAGAGUUCGUCCCAUUGAAGGAGUCAAGGGGAGAUGCCCUGGAGGUGUCCAGGUCCGGAGUUUAGGAGCCAUUAGGUGAGGUAGGUGCAGGGAAAAGGCAGGGGCAGACCCCAGGAACCUGGUGGGUGGGGCGGGGGCAAGGUGGGGAGAAAGCAGCGUUCCCGAGCCGGGCAUUGGGAGCGGGCUGUCCUCGGGCUCACCCUGUUGGCUACAGCCAGGAUGACCAGGUUGCAGUAGGC